rnacentral:rRNA from 1 species
GAUGAACGCUAGCGGCAGGCCUAACACAUGCAAGUCGAGGGAGAAGCCCUUCGGGGCAGAAACCGGCGCACGGGUGCGUAACGCGUAUGCAACCUACCUUUCACAGGGGGAUAGCCCGAAGAAAUUUGGAUUAAUACCCCAUAAUAUUAUUGGGUGGCAUCAUUUGAUAAUUAAAAUUACGAUGGUGAAAGAUGGGCAUGCGUCCUAUUAGCUAGUUGGAGUGGUAACGGCACCCCAAGGCUACGAUAGGUAGGGGUCCUGAGAGGGAGAUCCCCCACACUGGUACUGAGACAGGGACCAGACUCCUACGGGAGGCAGCAGUGAGGAAUAUUGGUCAAUGGUCGGAAGACUGAACCAGCCAUGCCGCGUGCAGGAAGAAUGCCUUAUGGGUUGUAAACUGCUUUUAUAUGGGAAGAAUAAGGAGUACGCGUACUUUGA